rnacentral:rRNA from 1 species
AUGAACGCUGGCGGCGUGCCUAAUACAUGCAAGUCGAGCGAACAGACGAGGAGCUUGCUCCUCUGACGUUAGCGGCGGACGGGUGAGUAACACGUGGAUAACCUACCUAUAAGACUGGGAUAACUUCGGGAAACCGGAGCUAAUACCGGAUAAUAUAUUGAACCGCAUGGUUCAAUAGUGAAAGACGGUUUUGCUGUCACUUAUAGAUGGAUCCGCGCCGCAUUAGCUAGUUGGUAAGGUAACGGCUUACCAAGGCGACGAUGCGUAGCCGACCUGAGAGGGUGAUCGGCCACACUGGAACUGAGACACGGUCCAGACUCCUACGGGAGGCAGCAGUAGGGAAUCUUCCGCAGUGGGCGAAGCCUGACGGAGCAACGCCGCGUGAGUGAUGAAGGUCUUCGGAUCGUAAAACUCUGUUAUUAGGGAAGAACAAAUGUGUAAGUAACUAUGCACGUCUUGACGGUACCUAAUCAGAAAGCCACGGCUAACUACGUG